ensembl:snoRNA
AUGCAUCUAUUUGACAGGCGUGGAGCAAUUACUGUCUGCCACUCAGGUUUCCACUAUAGAUGCAAGAAGAAAGCAUCCUUGCACGUUCUGUCUAUCUGAUUGUGGCAGCCCAGAUUGAAUGAGGGAAUACAGGG